rnacentral:rRNA from 1 species
GUGACCUCAAAUCAGGUAGGACUACCCGCUGAACUUAAGCAUAUCAAUAAGCGGAGGAAAAGAAACUAACAAGGAUUCCCCUAGUAACUGCGAGUGAAGCGGGAAAAGCUCAAAUUUAAAAUCUGGCGGCCUUUUUGCUGUCCGAGUUGUAAUCUAGAGAAGUGUUAUCCGCGCUGGACCGUGUACAAGUCUCCUGGAAUGGAGCAUCAUAGAGGGUGAGAAUCCCGUCUUUGACAUGGACUACCAGGGCUUUGUGAUGCGCUCUCAAAGAGUCGAGUUGUUUGGGAAUGCAGCUCAAAAUGGGUGGUAAAUUCCAUCUAAAGCUAAAUAUUGGCGAGAGACCGAUAGCGAACAAGUACCGUGAGGGAAAGAUGAAAAGAACUUUGGAAAGAGAGUAAACAGUACGUGAAAUUGCUG